CAAUGCAGGUGUCUCGUUUGAUGAGAUGAAAAGGGAACCGAGUGAGAGUCUCGGACAGUCCCGCUGCUGUGAGCCGACCUUAACGGCGCAAACAACAAGUCACUGGUUUCUCGGGAAGACGUUUGCGGCUGUCGGUAAGUCAGAAGACCUGCCUGCAUAA
rnacentral:ncRNA from 1 species